rnacentral:lncRNA from 9 species
CUGAGCUCAUGUUCCCAGUUACCAAACAAUGGGGACCAUGGUAACUGCUUGGACUUCAGGGUCAUUACCAAGGCUCCAAGGAAAUGAGAAUGGUGCACAUGUGUGCUCUAGUUUACAGUGUACAAAGAAAAGCUUUGCAAUAAUUGGGGAGGCUGAAACUGUCAACUUCCCUUCUGAUUUUUCGGACCAUCCAGAGUCUAGACCUGAGGAUAAAGUAAUCUUUUCAAGUUUUGAAGCCCCCAUAUGCCUACAGGAAUACACUGCUUAG